GAUGAAGAACGUAGCGAAAUGCGAUAAUUGAUGUGAAUUGCAGAAUUCCGUGAAUCAUCGAGUCUUUGAACGCACAUUGCGCCUCAUGGCAUUCCAUGAGGCAUGCCCAUCUCAGCGUUAGAAAAUAUUCUCAAAUUUUAGUUUUGUGCUAAAAUUUGGAUCAUGUCAAGGAAGCUAUUACUAUUAUUGUGAUCGCUCUUUGGAAAUUGAUAGGUCUUUGAGUUGCUACUCAUAGAACGUGAUGAAUCUUUCUUCGUUCUAUUGUAAUUCACUCUGGUAGUCCUAAAACUUGUAUGCCUGUGGCAUAUCUUGUAAUUUGACCUGAGAUUGGGUAGGGAUACCCGCUGAACUUAAGCAUAUCAAUAAGCGAGGA
rnacentral:misc_RNA from 1 species